ACUUCAUUGUAUUUUCAUGCUAUUUUUCUCAGAUGUUCUCCCAAAACCCUCAUGGCGCAGCUGAAGCCCGCUGCUUCACCCACCCGCUCUGUCACCUCUCUCAUAUCGUGUUUUUCCCGCGCCGAAAAAACCAAAUUCCGGCCUCUGCGUGCGGCCGCAAUUAACCCCUUAGCCUCCUCCUGCAACUCCCGCGUUCAUUCCCUCCUCAGUGCUGGCGACCCCGCCACCGCCAUAUCGGCUUACAAGGACUUCAUCAUCACCGGAAUCACCCCUCUCUACCCAACUCUUACCUCUCUCAUUCAUUGCUUCUCCCUCACAAAAAACCCUAAACUCUCUUUCUCCACCGCAGGUCUCAUCCUCAAAUCCGGCCAUCCCGUUGAUACCCUUCUUCUCAAUCUCCUUAUCAAAGCUCUGUGCCAAAGCCACCAGCUUGAUGAAGCCAUUGAGUUUUUUCGACAAGUUGCUCGGCGGUGGAUCUUUCCUGAUGUUAUUACUUACAAUACUCUCAUCCAUGGGUUAAUGAAGGAGAAGAGGAUGGAGAGGGCGAUGGAACUGUGGGAUGAUAUGGCUGAAGGAGACUUCCAGCCGAAUUUGGUGAGUUAUACUAUUUUAAUUGAUGGUUUUUGUAAGAAUGGUAGAGUGGAUGAGGCCAGUGGGUUGUUGAAUGAAAUGAGAAAUAAAGGCGUGGAUGCAGAUGUGGUGGUGUAUAGCGCUCUAAUUAGCGGUUUGUGUGAUGCGGGUAGAGUCGAUAGAGGAUUGGAGCUCUUCAAAGAGAUGAGUGAGAGGGGCAUUUCACCAAAUGUGGUUACUUUUAGUUGUUUGAUUAAUGCUCUGCAGAAGGCUGGGAGGUGGGCAGGAGUCAGGGAAUUGCUGAAUGACAUGGUGGAGCAAGGUAUAAAACCUGAGGUUUUUACAUAUACUGGAUUAAUUGAUGGGCUUUGUAAGGUGGGGAAGGAAAAAGAAGCCAUGAAGAUGUUUGAUCUAAUGGUGGAGAAGGGGGUGGAGCCGAGCACAGUGACCUAUAAUGUAUUGAUUAAUCAUUUAUGCAAAGAAGGAAUGAUUGAUGAUGCUCUUGCAUUCAUGGAGAAUAUGAGUGAAAGGGGUAAUGUACCAGAUGUUGUGACAUAUAACACUUUAAUUCUAGGUCUUUGUGAGGCAAACAAGAUGAGGGAGGCAAUUAAAAUGCUCGAUGAAAUGCUAGAGGGGAAGCAUGGCGUUGAGCCCGAUGUUUUGACUUUCAACACAAUUAUGCAUUGGUUAUGUAAGAGAGGAGGGGUUUCUCGGGCGUUGGAGCUUCAGAAGAUGAUGGUAGAAAGGGGGUAUGAUUGCAAUUUGAUGACUUAUAAUGUGUUGAUUGGUGGACUCAUCAAAAUUCGUAAGUUUAAUGCAGCAAUGGAGCUAAAGAAGGAGAUGGCUGGUAAGGGAUUGAGGCCAAACUCCUUUACAUAUAGUAUAAUGAUAAAUGAGCUGAGCAAAUUGGGAAAAGUUGAUGAUGCCGAGAGGCUUCUGAGGGAAAUGGGAGACCAUGGACUUUCACCUAGUUUGCUUGAUUAUAAUACAUUGAUGGCGUCGAUGUCCAAAGAAGGUAUGAAGGAGAGAGUGAUGAGAUUAUUCAGUGACAUGAGUGAGAAAUUAACACCUGAUGUGGUAUCUUUUAACACUUUGAUUGAUGCUGCUGGCAGACUUGGGGAUUUUGAAACCGUGAAACUAUUGCUUUCAGCUAUGUUUCGGAGAGGUUUAAGCCCUGACCGCAUUACGUAUUCUACAAUAAUAAAUAGAUUUGUAAAGUCAGGAAAGCUGGAGGAAGCUAAGAAGCUAUUUGAGGAAAUGAUUAGUAGUGGGCUGUCAUCUGAUGUUGUUGUAUAUCAUGCUCUACUUAAUGGUUUCAGAGAGAAGGGUGAAAUGGGAGAAGUCAUUAACUUACUCCAUCAGAUGGCGAGCAAUGACAUUUCUCUCGAUGUAAAAAUGGUUCAAACUUUACUGGAUUGCUUGGGGUCUGGAAUGGAAGAUCAUGAGCUUCUAAAAGAGUUGCAUAAGUUCAGUAGAAGAUCAUCAAAGGCCCCAUUUUCAGUUAACAAGCUGACUAAAAUACUCCAGAAGUCAUCUUCAAAGUUGCAGUUAAGUGCUGCUUGUUGAUUGGUGAUAGUUUUAUUUAGAGUCUCUAUUACCGGAACUCCUAAAUAUUUGGGCAUGCUAGUUUUAGUGGAAGAGCUUCAGCAAAUUUUCUACAAGUUGUAAACUCACAAGCACAAUGAAUUCUAGUUGGAUUUGCUCUUUCUAUGGCUAUGUUUUCAAUUCUGUCUUCACGUGUAUGUGCCAUACAUUGUUUGGUAUUUAUUGGGGUACCAUAGUAUGUUAUUUUGGUGGUCUAAUAUAUGCAAGGCAGUUUUUUAGAAGAUGUUUUUUGCAGUUUCUUAACGAGCUAAUCUUCUUGCUAAGCUGGUUGGUAAAGUUCUUAUUAACAAUUCAAAUGUCGGUUGUAUCUUGAUGAGCCUUUUGUGUGUCCUUCAAUGUCAUCUCCCAAGGAGUGUAAUUGCAGUGGAUAACAACUAAAAGCUAGUCAGAAAAGGUUGCAGAUAGAGAUGCGAAAAGCAAGUGUUUUCAAAUUACAUUGAUGCUUCAGACUUUCCUCAUUCCAUUUCUGAAGUUCUUAUAUUGGUGGUACCGGCCGCUGAACCUUUGUUUUACUGAGCUAUUCCUGCAAAAAAAAAAAGUUUUUUUUUUUUCAUCAAACUCACUUGGCUUAUUGCUGAAAGCUUUAAAAUUGAGGUGGUAAGAAGAUUGAUUCAUUAUAAUCUUGUAGAAUGCAUUAACAACCUCAGGAUUCUUAUCGUUGUUUUUGGGAGCUUAAUGUUUGUCCUGAAGUUCAAUGCUUUUUCUGAAAGUUCUUGAAUGCCUGGCUUCCUUACUGCAGCAUAUUCCAACAUCAAGAAUUAUCACUAGCUUGUUGCGGCAUAUCUGGAAUGGAACCUUUACGACACCAAAAGGGGCUUAGUUUUUAGGGAAUUACUCUUCCUUCUACCACAUUAUUAGGUCAACGCACUGCUUACUGAAGAAACAAUUAUGAUUGUGUGUCAGCUCACUUGGGAACCUGAUUUCUAAAGAUGAAUAUUGAUGGCUCAGCUAAGCUAAAAUGGUUUCAGCUCUUUCCAAGCCUCUAUUUAGUACAUGUGAACAUGCAAGUGUUUCUAGCAGCAUGGGAUGACCUUUCAAGAGAAAAAAAAUUUUUGGUAGUUCAGGUAACUUGGGUGCAAGAAAUUCUUCCUAUGUGAUGACCAAAAGGAUCUUGCAAGAUAAUGCUGAAUGUUACUUCCCCUGAAGAGAUGCUUACUAGCUAGUUCUGGUCUAGAGAAGUUGGAGGCUAUGGAGAAUCUAUUUAAGGUACCAAAAACCAAGGGAAGCUCUCCCAUUUGUUCGAUAGGACCAGUUUGUGAGGACUCCAAAUAUGGCUCGAUAGCCCUUAGCAAAGCUCAUGGUGCAAAUUCAUGGAGCUUCAACUCACCUAUUUUGUAGUUAACUUAUCUUAGCUUAUUAUGAAUGGAGCGUGAUUUGGGUAACCAAGAUAUAAUUGUUGCUUCUAAGUUUCCUGGAAGCAUCUGAGACUAUAGAUCUUUUUUUUUCAAGAAGAAUUCAGCGUGGGUACUUAGAAUCUUAUCAAAUAAAUUUUGCAAGUGUUGCAGAGACGAGGAUGCUCAGGUAUAUGAGUGGCUUUGCUCUUGGAGAUAUGAUACGAAAUAAGCUGCAAAAAGAUCAGAGUAGCUCCUGUGGAAGAUAAGAUUAGAUAGAGUUGCCUUAUA